rnacentral:lncRNA from 1 species
UUAACUCAAACCUUGCUUUCAAGCUUGAUUUCACCUAUUGGCCUGUUACUGCUGAGACACACUCUUGACUUUCUCCCAUGAUAAGGAAAUCCACUAUUACUUAUGGGACUUACCUCGAUAACACGCAAUUCCAGCUACGACUUAUAAGCAUCAACCCACAAAUAAGGCCCGGCCCGCCUAAUUUCUUUUCUUACAACUAGGCCGAUCAGUCUGUUUUCUCUGACUUUGAUUCUCCUGCCGCUGCCUUCGAUACUUUAUCUUAUAAUAAAGAAAGAAACCAGCGCUUCCAAGAUCUUAACUAGCAACCAAGAAGCCAACUACCAAUAAAAAGAAAUGCGGCUACCAACUAAAAGAGUAGAACCAAUACGGAAAAGAAGAAACCUUGUACUGAUGGGGCUUACCCUGCAAAACAAGCUUGACCCCGAACCACCAAACUACUACUACAAACUCAACUGCAUGGCAGAACAACAACAAGUAGUAUAUUUAAUACGAGUUACUAUUCCUGUUGUGCUUGGCGGUUUCAUUCUCACUUGAAACUAUCCCUCUCAAACUGAGACUAGCAAUCCUUAAAGGUAGGCUAACAAUUCCCACUUUGAGAACUCUUUUAUUGCAGACAUCGACUCUGGCUCUGUAAAC